GGGUUGUGAGGUUAAGCGACUAAGCGUACACGGUGGAUGCCCUGGCAGUCAGAGGCGAUGAAGGACGUGCUAAUCUGCGAAAAGCGUCGGUAAGGUGAUAUGAACCGUUAUAGCCGGCGAUGUCCGAAUGGGGAAACCCAGUGUGAUUCGUCACACUAUCGUUAACUGAAUACAUAGGUUAACGAGGCGAACCGGGGGAACUGAAACAUCUAAGUACCCCGAGGAAAAGAAAUCAACCGAGAUUCCCCCAGUAGCGGCGAGCGAACGGGGAGCAGCCCAGAGUCUGAAUCAGCUUGUGUAUUAGUGGAACGGUCUGGAAAGUCCGACGGUACAGGGUGAUAGUCCCGUACACCAAAAUGCACAGGCUGUGAACUCGAAGAGUAGGGCGGGACACGUGGUAUCCUGUCUGAAUAUGGGGGGACCAUCCUCCAAGGCUAAAUACUCCUGACUGACCGAUAGUAAACCAGUACCGUGAGGGAAAGGCGAAAAGAACCCCGGCGAGGGGAGUGAAAAAGAACCUGAAACCGUGUACGUACAAGCAGUGGGAGCACCUUCGGGUGUGACUGCGUACCUUUUGUAUAAUGGGUCAGCGACUUAUAUUCUGUAGCAAGGUUAACCGUAUAGGGGAGCCGCAGGGAAACCGAGUCUUAACUGGGCGUUAAGUUGCAGGGUAUAGACCCGAAACCCGGUGAUCUAGCCAUGGGCAGGUUGAAGGUUGGGUAACACUAACUGGAGGACCGAACCGACUAAUGUUGAAAAAUUAGCGGAUGACUUGUGGCUGGGGGUGAAAGGCCAAUCAAACCGGGAGAUAGCUGGUUCUCCCCGAAAGCUAUUUAGGUAGCGCCUCGUGAAUUCAUCUUCGGGGGUAGAGCACUGUUUCGGCUAGGGGGUCAUCCCGACUUACCAACCCGAUGCAAACUACGAAUACCGAAGAAUGUUAUCACGGGAGACACACGGCGGGUGCUAACGUCCGUCGUGAAGAGGGAAACAACCCAGACCGCCAGCUAAGGUCCCAAAGUCAUGGUUAAGUGGGAAACGAUGUGGGAAGGCACAGACAGCCAGGAUGUUGGCUUAGAAGCAGCCAUCAUUUAAAGAAAGCGUAAUAGCUCACUGGUCGAGUCGGCCUGCGCGGAAGAUGUAACGGGGCUAAACCAUGCACCGAAGCUGCGGCAGCGACACUAUGUGUUGUUGGGUAGGGGAGCGUUCUGUAAGCCUGCGAAGGUGACCUGUGAGGGUUGCUGGAGGUAUCAGAAGUGCGAAUGCUGACAUAAGUAACGAUAAAGCGGGUGAAAAGCCCGCUCGCCGGAAGACCAAGGGUUCCUGUCCAACGUUAAUCGGGGCAGGGUGAGUCGACCCCUAAGGCGAGGCCGAAAGGCGUAGUCGAUGGGAAACAGGUUAAUAUUCCUGUACUUGGUGUUACUGCGAAGGGGGGACGGAGAAGGCUAUGUUAGCCGGGCGACGGUUGUCCCGGUUUAAGCAUGUAGGCUGGUUGUCCAGGCAAAUCCGGAUAAUCAAGGCUGAGGUGUGAUGACGAGGCACUACGGUGCUGAAGUAACAAAUGCCCUGCUUCCAGGAAAAGCCUCUAAGCAUCAGGUAACAUCAAAUCGUACCCCAAACCGACACAGGUGGUCAGGUAGAGAAUACCAAGGCGCUUGAGAGAACUCGGGUGAAGGAACUAGGCAAAAUGGUGCCGUAACUUCGGGAGAAGGCACGCUGGUGUGUAGGUGAAGUCCCUGCGGAUGGAGCUGAGACCAGUCGAAGAUACCAGCUGGCUGCAACUGUUUAUUAAAAACACAGCACUGUGCAAACACGAAAGUGGACGUAUACGGUGUGACGCCUGCCCGGUGCCGGAAGGUUAAUUGAUGGGGUUAUCCGUAAGGAGAAGCUCUUGAUCGAAGCCCCGGUAAACGGCGGCCGUAACUAUAACGGUCCUAAGGUAGCGAAAUUCCUUGUCGGGUAAGUUCCGACCUGCACGAAUGGCGUAAUGAUGGCCAGGCUGUCUCCACCCGAGACUCAGUGAAAUUGAACUCGCUGUGAAGAUGCAGUGUACCCGCGGCAAGACGGAAAGACCCCGUGAACCUUUACUAUAGCUUGACACUGAACAUUGAGCCUUGAUGUGUAGGAUAGGUGGGAGGCUUUGAAGCGUGGACGCCAGUCUGCGUGGAGCCAACCUUGAAAUACCACCCUUUAAUGUUUGAUGUUCUAACGUUGGCCCCUGACCGGGGUUGCGGACAGUGUCUGGUGGGUAGUUUGACUGGGGCGGUCUCCUCCCAAAGCGUAACGGAGGAGCACGAAGGUUAGCUAAUCCUGGUCGGACAUCAGGAGGUUAGUGCAAUGGCAUAAGCUAGCUUGACUGCGAGCGUGACGGCGCGAGCAGGUGCGAAAGCAGGUCAUAGUGAUCCGGUGGUUCUGAAUGGAAGGGCCAUCGCUCAACGGAUAAAAGGUACUCCGGGGAUAACAGGCUGAUACCGCCCAAGAGUUCAUAUCGACGGCGGUGUUUGGCACCUCGAUGUCGGCUCAUCACAUCCUGGGGCUGAAGUAGGUCCCAAGGGUAUGGCUGUUCGCCAUUUAAAGUGGUACGCGAGCUGGGUUUAGAACGUCGUGAGACAGUUCGGUCCCUAUCUGCCGUGGGCGCUGGAGAAUUGAGGGGGGCUGCUCCUAGUACGAGAGGACCGGAGUGGACGCAUCACUGGUGUUCGGGUUGUCAUGCCAAUGGCACUGCCCGGUAGCUAAAUGCGGAAGAGAUAAGUGCUGAAAGCAUCUAAGCACGAAACUUGCCCCGAGAUGAGUUCUCCCUGAGACUUUAAGUCUCCUGAAGGAACGUUGAAGACGACGACGUUGAUAGGCCGGGUGUGUAAGCGCAGCGAUGCGUUGAGCUAACCGGUACUAAUGAACCGUGAGGCUUAACCUUACAACGCCGAAG
rnacentral:rRNA from 1 species